GUCUAGUGGUAUGAUACCUGCUUCGGGUGCAGGUGGUCCCGAGUUCGAAUCUCGG
rnacentral:tRNA from 1 species